UACGUAGGUGGCAAGCGUUGUCCGGAUUUACUGGGCGUAAAGAGCGCGCAGGCGGUCGUUCAAGUCGCGUGUGAAAGCCCCCGGCUCAACUGGGGAGGGUCACGCGAUACUGAUCGACUCGAAGGCAGGAGAGGGAAGUGGAAUUCCCGGUGUAGUGGUGAAAUGCGUAGAUAUCGGGAGGAACACCAGUGGCGAAGGCAGCUUGCUGGGACGGUACUGACGCUGAGACGCGAAAGCGUGGGGAGCAAACAGG
rnacentral:rRNA from 1 species